rnacentral:rRNA from 1 species
GUCGCAAGCUUACCCUGUGAAGGGCCCAUAGUAAGCAAAAUGGGUAAAUCCCAAAACGUCAGGUCGAGGUGUAGCUUACGAGGUGGAAAGAAAUGGGCUACAUUUUCUACAACAGAAUACUACGGACAACACCAUGAAACUGGUGCUCAAAGGUGGAUUUAGUAGUAAAAAACAAAUAGAGCGUGUUUUUGAACCAGGCUCUGAGACGCGCACACACCGCCCGUCACUCUCCCCAUUACCCUAAACUAAACAGUAAAUAACCAAACGCACAACAAAGCGGGGAGGCAAGUCGUAACAUGG